UGACACUCUCAUCUUCCUCCCUAUCUCUCUAUCUCUCUCACACGGACAAAGUACAAGCUGCGCCUCCGCCUUCCCACUGCCUCCCGUCGCUGGCGCAGGGACCCUCCCCCUCCCUUGCUGCGCGCUGCUUUGGCAGGGACCACCCCUCCCCUGCCUCCCAGUCCCCACCGCUGCUGAGACGCCGCCCUUCCCUUGCAUCUCCACCUCCAUCGAUGGAUGGAGGCGCACACUUCAGCUCCACCAGAUCCUCGGUUGCGGACUCGACGCGAGCGAUGGAGGGCUCUGCAGCGCCUAACUCCUCCUGCGGGAAAAGACGCGGAAUCGGAGCGAGCGCUGAUGAGCGCCAGCGAGGACGCGCUGCUCCGGUGGGUUGGGCGUAUCGCGAGCCUCACCGUGUGGCCAAGUACGACGUGCUCCAGAGUGGAGCGGUCGACGCCCUCCCCACCUCGCCCGUGUCUGGUAUUUCGUCAUCCGCCCUCUAUUCGGUUCAGCUCUGUUCCGCUGUGUGCGCCUUGACGCCGCCGCCCUAGCCGCAGCCCCACACCUCGCGCCACGGCCGCCACAAUCCCAUGGCUUGGCAUAAGUGUGAUCUAAUAAUUCAGAAAUGUUUUUCUGUAAUCAAUUGCUCAUGCAAUUCUAUAGGCUGUGGAAACUGCUCUUUUACACUGGUACAAUUGCAGUGUUAAGCUGUAACUUAUUUGUAGUUUAUUCACAAUGAGUACAUAAUAUCUCUAUAUAAUGCCACACCAAAAAGGCAUAUUUGAUUAGUCUUGUUUGGUCGAACAUUCUCACAUGUAAUUCUGGAUGCUCUAGCUGAUCUGUGUUCUCAUUUAUAACAAGAUGCAUUGUUGUAUAUCUGAACAGCAGGUUUAGUUCUGACAGAAAAAGCAAUAGGGCAGGUACAACAUGAAGUUAGGUUCUAGUGUUUUAUAUACAGUGCGGGUACAUCUUCCUUGCUUAGUCUAAUUGUGAUUGUCAAGUAUUCCUUGAUUGCUGAUUUUUUUUUUUGUGAAAUCUUCUUGUGCAUAUAUGAAGGGAAGCAAGCUUGGAUUCACUGAAUGAUGUGUACACACCAAGUGCGCCUCAGUUUCAUAAUAGCAAGCAACCCCAUUCUGAGGUUCUUCUGAUCAUGGCACUCUUAAUAAUUGAAGGGGAGAGUUGGUGUUCAUGAAACCAGAUUGCUUUGCUUGCUACAGAGUAUGAGCCACCAAGAUUUGUUUCCCGUGAGGCGUGAGCUGGCUUCCUACGCCCAGACGGUGGCUUGAUGUUAAGGUAAAGAAAAAUCUGAUCAAAGUUAGUACCUGAUCCAAGUUCGUUGGCUUGUGGUGAGGGCCUCAAUGUGGCAACGGCGGCACCCUGUGCUCGCAUCCGUGGGUCAGUAGGGCAGAUCUGCAGGCGGCCACGGCGCCCUGCCCUGACGUUCGUGGGGCAGCAGAGGUGGAGCGGACGGUGGCGCCGGAAAUCCUUGCUGGCAUCCAUGGGGCAGCAGAGGAGAGCGGCAAGCAGCGACAGCGGCCUGCGCUCGCGUCCUUGGGGCUGUAGAGGAGCGGACAGCGGCGGCUGAGUCCAGUGUUCGCGUCCAUUGGGCAGCAGAAGAGGAGAGAAUCGCGGCAACGUCGAUUAGCGCUCGCGUCCAUGGGGCAACAGCCAGCAGAGGAGGAGCGGCGGGCCGGUGGCGGGGAUCCGCACUGGCGUCCGUGCGGCAGCAAAGGAGGACAGACAAAUUGUGAUUGUGAGGGCAGAGAAAAUUACGGGAUUGAAAUCCCCUAUCCCCGCUAAUUGAGGACGAAGGGUUGCGGUGGGCAGUCUGCUCCGGCAGAACAUUUCAUCUGGAUUGUUCAUUUGUGUGGCAGACCCUUGAUGUAAUAUGGACCGCUAGAUGUGAUUUAAUUGAAUUGAUCGCCUCUA